rnacentral:lncRNA from 1 species
CAUAACUUAGAUUAUUACUUAAGUAGCUAGCUAUAACGACAGCGCAAUGAGUUACUGGCUUCUUAUAUACUUUUAGCAAGUUUGAUAUACACUUGAAUCCCUUCGCAAGAAUCCCAUCACAAUUCCUUUUUCUUUUAAUCGCUCAUUUUCAUGUUUCAUCUCGCGAUUCAAAGUCUCAUAUUUGACCAUUUCAUUCUCAUUUUACUCUAUAGUUUUUCACGCAAAUAAUUAUUAAGUUAGGUAAUGUAGAGAGAAGAAAUCUGACCAUAGUACCAAGCAAUAGAGGAAUGGGCACGAGUUGUGGGUCUCGUAACAGUUGUUAAGAGUUAUCUUCUCGACAGUUCGACCAUAGAACCAUGCAUGAUUUUUGGAUAUGCUCUUGCCUUUUAGGAUAUCACAAAUGAUUUCAUAUAAUGAAUCAUGAAUGUAUACCUAGCUUUACCUGCAUCCAGAUAUAAUUAAAAUCUUGGUUAUGGACUCAUGGCCCUAGCUAUCACCGACCAGAGGUGACUGAUCACGUCGACAUUGUAUAUCUCGGUGGUGACCGGCCAAGCCGCCUUGACCGGCUCUAUGAAAAUUUAAGUUCUUACGAAUAUAUAGCGGUGCAGAAUGUGUAACAUCCAAAUGGGACCAAGAGCGAGAUGUGGUUUCAAUUCACGAGUACAAUCUGUGGUGCCAAGGAGUAGUCAUGAGGACAAAUGGACUUGACAAUACGUCUGCCUUGUUUUAAGUCAUUCAAGAACAAGAAAUUAAUUUUACGCGAGCCUCACUUGCCAAUUGUUAAUAUGAAUGAGAGGAAGGAGUGAAAGAUAUGUGCAAGUAACAUAUAUGCAAGUAUAAAUUUCAUACUCAAAAUCGUUCAUUACAUAUUACUAUUCAAGGAUGUCACUACAUUACCUGCGGUUUUAUGAGAACCAGCUUGUUUUUAAACAUUUUGACAGGGAGAGACAUAACAUUUUCAGUUUUUACGGUAUAAUUAAAUUUGUAAAUUUUAAAAAUUUAAAUUUGUAACUUUUAAAAAUUAAAUUUUUAACCUCGUAACUUUUAGAUUUAUAUUUCAUGACAAGAAGAGGAGGUGAGUUUCAUGCUUAUUUUCAUAUUUGUAACAACAACACAAAAUCAAACAAAGUAAACCCAUUCAAUUAGUCAACAACAAAAAAAGAAGGAAAAAUGUCAAUUUAGUACUAAUUUAAACCCCUCAUUCCCCAUUUCAAUGAUAAUCUAUUUCAUUAGCCCAUUUCAAUAUAAGGUAACAUUUUUUAUGUCCAAAUGCAUAAAUUUUUACUAAAGUCUUAACAAAUUAUAUUAUUUUAAGACUAUUUUGCCUUCACCCCUUAAACAUGCAUAGAGAGAGAAUAUGAAAGAGAGAAUACUUGGCCGGAAUCUCACCAGACUCCGGUCACCGGUAGUCGGAUUCCGAUCGUCGGUAACUCAGUUACUGACCCCCAAUAACUCGAUUACUGACCCCCACUAACCAGUUACUGACCCCUACUACCCCUAAUAAUUAGUUACUGACCCCCAAUAAUCAACUUAUUGUAAUAGAAAAGAAGAAAUACCAAAACAUAAUCGAGUUAUUGAUCGUCAAUAAUCAGUCAAAACUACAACACGAAUAAUCAAGCUACCUAUCAGCUACAAAAAUACAACUACUGGUCACUGUCACCGGAUUCCUGCCCCUCAAUAAUCGAGUUACUGACCCCCGGUAAUCACUUUAUUAAGUUACUGACCCCUAAUAAUCAGGUUACUGACCCCCAAUAACUUAAUUACUGACCCUCAAUAAUCAGUUAUUGACUCCAAUAAUCAACUUAUUUCAGCUUAUUGUAAUAGAAAAGAGAGAAAUAUCAAAAAAUAAUCGAGUUAUUGACUCCCAAUAAUCAGUUACUGACCUCCAAUAAUUAACUUAUUUCAGCAAAUCUAUAACCAUUUAGCUUCCUCUCACAAACACCAUAUAGGAAUAUCACUGAUUUGUCUUGCACAAGGCAUCCAUAACCAUUUACCUUCCUCUCACAAACACCAUAUAAGAAUAUCACUGAUUUGUCUUGCACAAGCCAUGGAUCUCCACUUCUCGCCGGAGCUCUUCCACCUUUCACCGGUAUCGCUUCCCUGGGCGCUCAGUGCUUAGGAGAUGACCCAACGUCCGGCCGUGAAUCUCGACCAGAUCCGGCCUUGAAUCUCAAACGCAGCUCUGACGCCAACGUUGACUUCACGACGAGCUUCUCCAUGUAGCGCUCUGCCUGCUUGGCGUCUGGCCAUGAAUCUUGACCAUAUCCGGCCUGCUCGGUGUGCUCCAGCUUGGGGCCGACGAAGACAUGGUGUUCACGAACGUAGCUCCGGCCUUCUCGAACACAACUCCAACGCCGACAUGGUGUUCAAGCCGCUAGCUACUGGCGUUCAUGUGCGUCGGCACACUAGAGUUUAGGUCGGUGGCGGAGCCGAGAGAGAGAGAGAGAGAGAGAGAGAGAGAGAGAGAGAGAGAGAGAGAGAGAGAGAGAGAGAGAGAGAGAGAGAGAGAGAGAGAG